AGUGGCCACACUGCGCCCGAUCUCGGAAGCUAAGCCAGGCCUGGUUAGUACUUGGAUGGGAGACUACCUUGGAAGACCAGGGGUCACUAAAC
rnacentral:rRNA from 12 species